UGGAGAGCAUAAGGGCAUACGGUGGAUGACUUGACACGAAAAGCCGAUGAAGGACGUAGCAGUCUGCGAUAAGCCUCGGGGAGGUGACAAGCAACCUUUGAUCCGGGGAUUUCCGAAUGGAGCAAUCCACUUCGAUGGAAGAUCGAAGUAUCGCUCACUGAAUUCAUAGGUGUGCGAAGGGUACCUGGUGAAGUGAAACAUCUCAGUAACCAGAGGAAAAGAAAAUAAUAUGGAAGUUUGAUGCCGAAUCUGGAGGGCGCAAGUCUUUCAGUUUUAGCAUCAUACUUUCCAAUCAUUCCCCUAGUAGUGGCGAGCGAACGGGGAAGAGUCUAAACCUCCUCCAUGAGUUUUUGUGGCGGCUUGUUGUUGAAAGACAAUCGGUACGUGCGAAGAUGAAAGGUGUCGGCCGUUGUGGAGAGAGGUGUUGUGUGGUGAUUGUGGUCCCCGCCGAUAUCGGGGACGUAAGUUGUAUAAUUUCCCUAGUAGAAGGGUCCUGGAAUGGCCCACCAAAGAAGGUGAAAGUCCUGUACGCGAAAGGGAUUAAACACUUAUCGUGAUCAAUCCACGAGUACCACGGGCCUCGUGAAAUCCUGUGGGAAUCAGCCGCGACUAUGCGGUAAGACUAAAUACUUUUCGUGAUCGAUAGUGAACCAGUACAGUGAUGGAAAGUUGAAAAGUAGCCCGGAAGGGCGAUGAAAUAGUAUCUGAAACCGUAUGCUUACAAGGAGUCAGAGCCUGUCGCAAGAUGGGUGAUGGCGUUCCUAUUGAAGAAUGAGCCAACGACUUUGCUGUGCGUUGCUUGGUUAAGCUCCUGCGGGAGCGAAGCCGAAGCGAAAGCGAGUCUUAAUAGGGCGUAUCCACUUAUUUUUUCCGUUGACCUUCCAUGGUCAAUGCGAAAAAAUGGGUGGAAGGUAACGCGCACAAAACCCGAAACCGGGCGACCGAUCCAUGGCCAGGGUGAAGUUCCGCGAAGGCGGAAUGGAGGCCCGAACCCACGUGCCGUUCAAAACACGGGGAUGAGUUGUGGAUAGCGGAGAAAUUCCAAUCGAGCUCGGUAAUAGCUGGUUCUCCCCGAAAUAGCUUAAGGGCUAGCGUCGGAACAAUCGUACUGGGGGUAGAGCACUGAAUGGGGUCCGAUGGAGUGAUCCUACGUACCCUAACCAAACUCCGAAUACCAGUACGUCUACCGGCAGUCAGUCCAUGGGGGCUAAGCUCCAUGCGACAAAAGGGAAACAGCCCUUGAUCUCAGUCUAAGGUCCUUAAAUCGUGAUUAAGUGUGAAAGGUGGUGAGGUGACUCAAACAACCAGGAGGUUGGCUUAGAAGCAGCCAUCCUUUAAAGAAAGCGUAACAGCUCACUGGUCGAGUUCCCUUGCAUCGAAAAUUCAACGGGGCUCAAAUCACGUACCGAAGACGAGGACUUGUUCACUUCGGUGAACAAUUGGUAGGGGAGCAUUCUGUAGGCGACGAAGGCGACGGCGUGAGCCGCGCUGGAGCGUACAGAAGAGAGAAUGUUGGCAUAAGUAGCAGCAAGACGGGUGAGAACCCCGUCCGCCGCAAACCCAAGGUUUCCUGGGCAACGAAAAUCGUCCCAGGGUUAGUCGGUCCUAAGGUCAGGCCGAAGGGCGUAGCCGAUGGACAGCAGGUUAAUAUUCCUGCACUACCGUUUGAUUAUCCGUGCGUGACGCUUCGCCGUAUCGCGUGUGUGUUUCGGUUAUACACAUCCGCGGCCGCAAGUUUCAUCGAGCAAUCGGUGACGCGAGUGGUUGAAGGGAGUGGGCUCGCGAGAGCUCGCAACACAUGAAAAGGUGGAGCCUAGAAAAACCGCACGGUCACGUCAGAUGGUAACCGUACCGUAAACCGACACAGGUGGGUGGGCAUGAUUGUGCCAAGGCGUACGAGAGAAACAUCGUUAAGGAACUCGGCAAUACAGAGGCCGUAACUUCGGGAUAAGGCCUGCCCCGCGCAAGCGGGGCCGCAGCGAAAGACGCCAAGCGACUGUUUAUCAAAAACACAGGUCCCUGCAAAAUCGUAAGAUGACAUAUAGGGGCUGAUGCCUGGCCAGUGUCAGAACGUUAAAGAAGGUGGUCAUGUGUUCGCAAGAACGCGGCAGCCGCCGACUGAAGCGCUGAUGAACGCCGGCGAUAACUAUAAUCGUCCUAAGGUUUUCUGGAUCACUUUGUGGUCCGGAAAACGACUGGGACGAUUAUGGAAAGAUAAACAAAAAAUAAAAAAGCCAUUCGAAAAAGCUGCCGCUUCAUUGAGGAAUCAAUGAAGUCAGUCUAAUUCAGCGAUAUGCAAGGAAAACCUCUUUGGAGGAAAACUUGCAGGAAACCAAAUUCCGCGCAAGCGGGAAAGUAGGAUCCUCAGGCACUCUCGCGCUGACACCGAGAACCGGUGUAAACAGAGUCCACGUCAAAGGAUACGUCAGCGAAAUUCCUUGUCGGGUGAGUUCCGACCUGCACGAAUGGCAUAACGACUUGGCGACUCUCUCAACGAUGUACUCGGCGAAAUUGCAAGAUGAGUGAAGAUGCUCAUUAC
rnacentral:rRNA from 1 species